rnacentral:lncRNA from 1 species
GAGUUUCCUCCAUGACAAUGCUCCAUCGACCUUCUAAGGUCAGAUCUGUUUCUCUAACUUAUAUAUCUGACCUUCUCACACCCAAAAGCCACGUAAAGGUCCCAUCUUUAUGCUCAUGCAUCACACAUAUGGCUCUAUUUGAUGAAAUAAAUCUUAAAAUGGUAACCUAGACUCAAAACUCUUAUGGGACUGCAUAAAGUUGGAUGAUAGGUACUCUCUGGCCUCUCAAGGUCUAGAUCUAAUGUAUAUGCCUCAAGGGGACUUCACUUUCAUCAUAACUCAACUUAAAAGAGGGUAAAGAAACCCUCCUUCUUCCUUGCAAGAAUGCACCCAAAAUGAUGAAAAUUAGCCCCCUCUUUCGCUCUAUGCUCUCUGGAUCAAUUAGGGUCUCUCAAGGGAAGUGUGGCCGAAAAUGAAGGCCAUAAGGGCCUUUAAAUAGGUCACAAACUAGGACAAUUAGGGUUUUCCUCAGCAACGCUGACUCGGCAAGUCAGAUACCCGACUCGUCGAGUCCAUUCAUUAAACACGUCACCAAAAUGCGACCCUACUCGACGAGUUAAAACACCAACUCGUCGAGUCACUCCUCAUAUCUCGAAAUAAAUACUCAAAAUAUUAUUCCUGGAAAUACGGAUGUUACAAUUCUCCCCCACUUGAAUUAGAUUUCGACCUCGAAAUCGCUCCUCAACCACAUAGACAAAAACCAAACACCCGAAAAGCACCACUGAAAGGAUCUCACACAAAAACGAUAUCUUACUCCAUGGAUACCUGAACCUAAACAGGAAAUCCUAAAUUCGGAACAAAACCGACCCCUUUGCCGCUAAGAUACCCCUCCCGACUUUCCAAAUCUGGAACUCUAGUGGUCUGGUCUGCCGCCAGACCGUCCACUCAAGAUAUCAUCACGUUAUUCACUCCUCGAAUAACAUACCCCAAUAAUUCACUGCCCCUUUGAUUCUCACAAGAUAAGUCCAACAAUCAGCUACCGAUCACCCAUGCCAGACAUACCAAACGAUCCCAAACACACUUCCAUAGACGAAAGGGUCAUAUGCUAACAGAGACCCAUCCACUGGACUGCUGUCAGAAUCCGUCCGAACAUUGAACCCUCAACACCCUGUCCUCAGACACAUGAAAAUAAUCAAGCUCGCUUAGAAGUGUCCUCUGACAUCUAGAAUCAUAUGCCACAGAGCGUCUUACUGACUUCCUUCUCAUAACAACUAUCUCGGCCCAUUGUCACACACCAGACACGAAGCUCGCUUUACCCCAAACGAUUACUAUAAUCCCAACUAAAAUCGUCUCACCCUCGACCUUUGUCGACAACUACCCAUUAGUCUCAUGCGUCUCGCGGUCUUUCUCACACCAACAAACCGACCCACCCAGUUCCAAGACACCAGAUGAAAACAAUACCCCUUCCUAGAAGAAAUCCAUCUCUAAAUCUGGAAUCUCAAUCCAUUUACUCGAUACACCACUAGAAUUAAACUCAACCCGAGAGUCUGGACCGACGCAAAAUUGGAACCACCCGUCCCAAUAAAGCACCCAACUCAUGACUCAUGACUCGCAACCCACUCGUACAUCACUUCUUCGUUCCCUUCCCAUUACGGUCUCCACAGCCUAACUCAGGAUAUAAUGAUUCCCGACCAUUAUGGAGACCUCCGUCUCUAUCCUAAUCUGGCCACCAGGCUCUCGGAUACUCAAUGCAAUAAGGCUACUCAAGCCUAAGAACUCUCAUGAGUCAUGCCAUGACUAACAAAUAACGCGGUUCCUCGCAGCACCACGACACCCUCUCACCGACUAGUGAGUACUACGGCUCCCUGCAGUAUCACAAAACCCUCUCUGACUAGUGAGUACUAUGGCUCACUGUAGUAUCAUAACACCUUCUCACUGAUUGGUGAGUACUACGACUCCUCGUAGUAUCACCACACCCUCUCUCACUGACUGGUGAGUACUACGGCUCCCCGUAGUAUCACCACACCUUUUCUUGCUGCAAUCCACAUUCUUAAAUAACCUCACUUGCUGUCACUAGUCGAAGGGCUCCCAUUGGAAUCAUAGAUACUUGAUACUCCACUUACUAUCUCGUAAAUCAAGCCUCAAAAUAACCCGAUAAUCAGGGCAUCAUGCUCGGAUACCCCGGUACACCAUCGUCGAACCUCAUGAAGUCUUUCCUCACCCACUGAUCUCCUAUAUACGGUAUCAUACCUUGAUAUCUCAAAUCAUCCUUUCAAACUCUUGCAACUGAUCUUCCUCUCACACCACUCGUAACUCCGAAAUAUUCUAACUCUCAAUUGAAACACGGAGGAGUCGUCAGCGACUCAGAACACGUAGAAGACAAUCCGAAACUUCCUCCUCUAUUGCUCAAAACUCAUGCAAGAAUACUCAUAAUGACCCUGAAGUUGGUUGCCCAAUCAACUUCUUCCCUUCCCAUACUGCAUAUAAUAGCCCAUACCUUGAACCAGGAUUUCUCAACCGCCGAACUAACCUUACAAGCCAACCACCUCAAAUUCACCAUUAUAACCUUGAAGGAUUCCUAACCACCACAAGGUCUCCGACCAACGGCCACUUUCCGUGGAGACACUCAUCCUUUCUCAAACAUGUACCACCUGCACUAUCUCGCUCUGCACCUCGCAUUGACCACCAAUAACCCUGGUCUCAGGAAUCUGCACCACAUGUCUCUAUAUCCAGCUCUUUAACCGCUCUUGAACAAAUCUCUGAUCUCCUCAAAAAGUACCUGGUUCUCCCCCACUCAGGGUUCGAACCAUCACCAAUUGGUUCACCAACAAUCUAUCCCACAGACUGUUUUUACCAAUAACAUCGCACCUACUCUUGGAAGGUGAUAUGCAAUGCUCGGUGAUCUCCCCGAUGGAGAUCAAGCAACUCCAAAUACCCCAAAUCUCAGAUGAAAUCCUCAGAAACUUCUCAUCAUGACUGCCUCUAGUCAUUCAGAGUCUCGUACCAUCCUACUACCGGACAUCUCAACUGUCCAAUAGUAACCCUGGCUCUCAGUUUGAAAAUAAUGAACUAACAUACUCCUCAUCCUCGAAUCAUUAACCAACGUCCUAUCACGUGAAUUAUCAUAAGAGCAGAGACCUCAUUUCCAUACUCGAUACCCAUCAUAGACAAUAAGAUCCACCAUUACGAUAUACUCCUCUUGCUCGUACGUUGCUGUAGCUAACACAUGCCUUACUACGCUCAAAUAGGGUGUAUCCUGGUCCUUGACCAUCUCAAUCCCCACUGACAACUUGCUCCUGCUAUAUCCUUACCUCGCGGCAGACAUACUGCCCAGAUACUCUGAUGAAAGAUCGUAACCAAAGCUACCCCACAGGGCUCACUCCGAACCUCGGAGACCGAAAAUCUCAAUACCUCUCCUGUUUCCCACAAGAACAGAAAUAACACUGCUCAGGUCACAGAAAAUGACAUCUCCACUAUUGGCCGGUCACUCAGCCCAGACCGUAUUCUCCCAUAACGCACCAACCCUACUCAUCCCUGAGUCUUGCGACUCCAACUGGCAUCUCACCAACAAUCCCUCGGAGCUAACUCGAUUUCCCUUUCAAGGGAUGCUCCACUAAAACUUGUUCAUCAUGGCCCUCUGGCCCCAUACUCUUUCACAUCUGAUCCCAGUCUAGACAAUCACCACAGAAUAACCGGUAAAACCAGAAGCACUAACCACCACGUGUCCUGGUACUCAAACCAUGUGACCGCCUCUCGAUCUGCUAUAAAUCAUGGUACCUGAGCCAUGCUACCUCCUCUUAAUUUGCUACGAAUCAUGGUAAUCGAACCAUGUUCUCUCUUCUCAAUCCGCCUCAAAUCAUGGUAAUCGAACCAUGACAUCACCUCUCGAUUUGCUACAAAUCAUGGUACCCGAACCGUGACAUCACCUCUCGAUCUGCUACAAAUCAUGGUACUCGAACCAUGGCAUCACCUCUCGAUCUGCUACUUAGAUCCUCCGGAAUACUCCCUGCAUCGAGUAUGGGUCCUCUUCUUUUAGUAGUACGAGCCCAUACUACCUGCCACAUCUACCCAUACUCUCUACACGGACCACCCCAGAGUCCCUAAGUAGCUUUUCAACCUUCUCAAUCACCAAUCCCGACACGCGUGCUCGCUUCCCACCGAAAUGCUCUACUCUAUCAGUGUACUCAUCUGACUAAGGUCACUUCCUAGGCUCUUCCUAGGUUCUCACACUUCUCCGCCAUCAUUUGCUGAGAAACUCCUUAUGGUGCCAGUCAUCUACCUCCUGAAUAUCGUCACAUUCACUUGGUAGCUGACUCCCAUCAUCGGGAGUUCCACAAAGCACGAAGCAAGAAACAUUCGAGCAUCGAAUAAACACGCAAAACCCACUCUAGGUGAUAACUUCACUUGCUCUACUCACAUUCAAAAGAUAUCACCGAACUCAGCAACUCUACUCCUCGCGGGUAGCUAACUACUCUCUCAGUAGGUUCCACAAUGCUCAUCUAGGUAUCUCUCAUAGAUUACUCCUCUACUCAAAUCCCUCUCUAUACUCUUACUCAGCACAUACUCGAAAGCUCAUCACAGAUAACAACAACUCCUAGGCUAAGGCAUCACAAAUAAGGCCACUCUAGUCCUAAAAUAUGAAAUACCUAGCCUAUCUCUAGCAUGCAUAAUACCGCAUAACAUAUCUCAUAAUAUAAAAGUAACGGUAUUUUGGGAAAUCACCGUUCGGGCUCUGGCUGAUUGUACACACUGCUCUUCCUCAUUUUCUCUUAGAAACUCCUAUUCGCUCUAGAAAAAUCAUUUCUUUGAAAUUGUUUCUCAACUCCUCAGUUUGAGUCCAGAUUUUACCCGAAGGUGCAUCCGAAUCCCUCAAACCAAGGCUCUGAUACCAACUUGUAACACCGUAAAUUUUGAAACAAAAAUUUCAUUUUAAAAAUGCAUACUUUUCAUAACAAUUUGUAUAAAAAUCUCAUUUAUUCAAUUUACAAAACACAACCCCAUUAAUAAUCCAGGAUCCUCAAAACAUAACUCUUUCUCUGGUGUGUACAAUCAAGCCGGUGCCGUCGCACGAUCCUGAGAAACCUGAAACACAUAACAUAUAACACAGUAAACACAAAGCUUAGUGAGUUCCCCAAAAUACCACGUACAACAAUUUUCCACUCGAGGCUAUACUCUGUAAGACCCUCCGGUCAAUGUGUCUCAGCGGGACUCUCCAGUCCCGUAGCUCGUUGGACCCUCCGGUCCGGUUUGGUUGUGAGCCUUCCGGCCUCACAGAUCGUUGGACCCUUCGGUCCGGUCUAUAAACUCCGCAUAGCAUAAAUCACAAAGACAUAAUGCAUAGCAUACCACAUACAAAAGAAUAACAUAAUACUUAAUGUAAGCACAUAAGACCUUCCGGUCACACAUAACUACCACUCAAGGUAAAGUAUAGUGAGAAGACUCACCUCGUAUGAUGUCUAUCAUACUCUCGUUCUCGAUAUCCCCGAUCUAGCCUCCUCCUAUCAAAAUGAUAACAUCUCUUAUCAAUACUCUCUUUAUGUUCUCAUCCCAAAAGAAUGGGUAGAAGACCAUUCCACCCCUCCAUGGCCUCUCUUGAAUCAGUUAGACCAAAACCCUAAGGUCAACGGAAGUCAACUCCAGUCAACGGUCUAACUUUAACCAAACUCGUCGAGUGCACUCGGGUGACUCGGCGAGUCCACGCGUGUCCUCUGAAUCCUACUAAGGCCUCACUCGACUCGUCGAGUUAACCUUUCACUCGACGGGUUACCACUAAUCACGAAUCGUGCAGCAACCCGAUCCGACUCGUCGAGUCCUCUCAUGGACUCGGCGAGUUUCCUCCAUGGCAAUGGUCUAUCGACCUUCUGAGGUCAGAUCUAUUUCUCUAACUUAUAUAUCUGACCUUCUCACACCCAAAGUCACGUAAAGGUCCCAUCUUUAUGCUCAUGCAUCACACAUAUGGCUCUAUUUGAUGAAAUAAAUCUUAAAAUGGUAACCUAGACUCAAAACUCUUAUGGGACUGCAUAAAGCUGGAU